AUUGAACGCUGGCGGCAUGCCUUACACAUGCAAGUCGAACGGUAACAGGUCUUCGGAUGCUGACGAGUGGCGAACGGGUGAGUAAUACAUCGGAACGUGCCCGAUCGUGGGGGAUAACGAAGCGAAAGCUUUGCUAAUACCGCAUAAGAUCUAAGGAUGAAAGCAGGGGACCGCAAGGCCUUGCGCGAACGGAGCGGCCGAUGGCAGAUUAGGUAGUUGGUGGGAUAAAAGCUUACCAAGCCGACGAGCUGUAGCUGGUCUGAGAGGACGACCAGCCAAACUGGGACUGAGCAACGGCCCAGACUCCUACGGGAGGCAGCAGUGGGAGAUUUUGGACAAUGGGCGAAAGCCUGAUCCAGCCAUGCCGCGUGCAGGAUGAAGGCCUUCGGGUUGUAAACUGCUUUUGUACGGAACGAAAAGACUCUGGUUAAUACCUGGGGUCCAUGACGGUACCGUAAGAAUAAGCACCGGCUAACUACGUGCCAGCAGCCGCCGUAA
rnacentral:rRNA from 1 species